GGGCUUGUGGUUUAGUGGUAUAAUACUCCCUUAGCAUCAGCAGCUUGUCUGCGAGUAAUUUGGGAGUGGUCCGGGGUUCGAUUCCCCGCGAGUCCA